rnacentral:rRNA from 1 species
AUUGAACGCUGGCGGCAUGCUUUACACAUGCAAGUCGAACGGUAACAGGCCGCAAGGUGCUGACGAGUGGCGAACGGGUGAGUAAUGCAUCGGAACGUGCCCAGUCGUGGGGGAUAACGCAGCGAAAGCUGCGCUAAUACCGCAUACGAUCUAUGGAUGAAAGCGGGGGACCGUAAGGCCUCGCGCGAUUGGAGCGGCCGAUGUCAGAUUAGGUAGUUGGUGGGGUAAAGGCUCACCAAGCCUACGAUCUGUAGCUGGUCUGAGAGGACGACCAGCCACACUGGGACUGAGACACGGCCCAGACUCCUACGGGAGGCAGCAGUGGGGAAUUUUGGACAAUGGGCGCAAGCCUGAUUCAGCAAUGCCGCGUGCAGGAAGAAGGCCUUCGGGUUGUAAACUGCUUUUGUACGGAACGAAACGGUCCUGGUUAAUACCUGGGGCUAAUGACGGUACCGUAAGAAUAAGCACCGGCUAACUACGUGCCAGCAGCCGCAGUAACAC